GUGCAAAGAUCACCCUUUGAUCUCUCUAGGGAUUCUUUUCUUCUCCAGUCGGUAUUGCCAUCUCGCAGAUUGUUGAGGAAACAUCUCAUGUACUGUGCAGCAGAAGUUGCGCACAGCUAAUAGAUAAAUUUGUCACGAAAUAUGGCGGUUGCAGGUAGUAGUAAAAAAGCUAUUGCACUGUUGCUCGGACAGUGUGUUCCAAGCUUGAAGAAGGGCGUACCAAAAAUUCGGAUACGUCAUCUGGAACUUGACGAAAAUCUGCUGAUGGUUAAGUUUUAGGAAAGCUGAGUUACAUACAUAUCACGCGUGUUCUACCGGUUUCAGUACUUCGGAAAAGACACAUAUGUAUAUGCUAAUGAUCCGAAAAAUAUCUGUCAGCCUGGAGACCACGUACUCCUAAAGCAACUACCCAAAAAAUUGACUCGCCUGAUUGCGCACGAGAUCCUGGAGGUCGUCUAUCCAUACGGCGAUGUUACAGAUCCUGUAACUGGCAAGAAAGUAGUCGUAGGACAAUAUAGGGAUGCUAUCAAGGCACAGAACAAGCUAUAUGGGGAAGUAAAUUCGGCGUUUGAUUACGAUAAAGCUCCCCCCAGGGGUAGUCAAAAAGAGAAACGUGAUUUCAGUUUUCAUGAAACAUACGUCAAGUACCACGAAGAUCCCGAUGACCCACAACCAUAUGCGGUAUAAACCUAGAUUGUAUAAAUUUUCGCCUGUUAGCAUUCAAUAAACGAGUAACCUUAAUUUGUAUUUUAUUAAUAAUUCUCAAACGUUUCAACAUUCAUAUCACAAAUGUUCAUAAUUUAAAGCUUCUAAACAGAAUAGCUGGUGCCUAUCGGAAGGAUUCUACCCACUCGACCUUUGCACCUGAGGUAAGAGAUAGAAGCAAUUUCUGUAUUUACGAAAUGCUCCAGGUAAAAAUUUAUUUCAUUGAUUUAGAUUAUGUAGAAAAUAGAAUUGAACAACGCUCGUUGCUUGAUUGAAGAGAAAACUAACUCAAUGUCAUGGAUCAAUCGGAUAAAAAUUCUCUCUCUAAAGCAGCACCCAUCUCGUUCCAUUCGCAAUCAUCCUCCACAGAAUCCUGAGAAUCGUCUCCAAGGUCCAAAUCGUCUGGCAGCGAUUCGCCUCGACGGAACCUUGUUAUAAGGUCAUCAUCAUUGUCCCUGUCAUCAUCUUCAUCGUCGUCAGAGGACUUCCGAUCUUCCGCAGACGAAUCGUCAUUAUUUUCCGCAGUAUCUCUCUUUUUUCUUUUGCUGCCGAAAACAGUUCCUGCACGUUCUUCUGUUUGGGAAUUUAAGAAUUCAUAUUCAACAAGGAUUAGUCUGAGAUUUAAUUUAUUUUACCGUUAAGUGAGUCAGGCGUUCGUGAUCGACGUCGGCGACGUGAAGAGGUGGUUUCGUUUUCAGCUGCAAUUGGCGUUGCAUCCAGUUCUUGAUCACUCAUGUCUUCUUCGACCUCUUUAUCCAUGUUCGCUAUUUCCUCAAGCGUGAAAGACAUAAGGGGAUUUAUACUGUCUGCAAAUCUGUUGGCCUCUCCGGUUUCCAGAUCCUCAGCCCUCUCAGGGCUGCUGCAGUGUGGCGGCGGUACCCUGGAUCCACGAGCCUGCAUUGGUUCAUUUUAAUCCCGGACGAAUAGUUUGGUUCAAAAGUUCACGAAGACAACAACUUUCAGGCAGCAUCUGACCCGCAG
rnacentral:misc_RNA from 1 species